CGACGAGACUGUGCCAAGGAUUUUUGCAAACUGUCGUUGUUCGUCCUGUUACACUAGCGAUUACGUAACGACGCUGCACCUAACGUCGCGAAAUCGACAGAAUUGAACUGCCAUUCGAAGGCUUUUAAAAAUCGCUAAGAGGUCUUCGCCUCGCUCUCUCGCUCUCCUCGAACGACGGUCAAAAUAAACGCGCCAUUCCUGAGAGGUUAAGAAGAAGACUUCGGAGAAGGCACAAAGGAUCGUUCCUUCGAUCGGUUCUCUAGAUCAAAGAAGUCUGCCACGUUAAUUACAACGACCAAUCAGAGAUGAUUCGAUGGAUCACUAAUGGAAACCUUGGGUUACAACUUAUUCAUGACGUUUUGACUGUGUAUUGUAUAUUAAAUAUGCAGACACGCGAUGGCACGACAAAAGGUGUACGAGCGAGUUGCGAAUUCGCAAGCAACUGAGGCGUCGCGUAAUGUACAUAGAACUCUACCUCGUUCACCUGCAUCCUCGUAAAAAAACGAAUGGGAGCGAACAAGCCCGCGCCCGCGCGCAUAACGAUGGUCCACGAAUAAUCACGGUAUGGUGUAACGCGUCCGCGAGCGAACGGAUGUCGCGUAAACCGAGAAUCGCGUCAAUCCUGUGCAAGUUGCGCCCCUAUUCCAGCGAAACGUCCAAUCUCUUACGUAGCGACUCGUUCGACACGAGAUACUUGUUCGAGAGAUUGUUAUUGGCCUAGAACAGAAUCACUAAUCUCUUUCAAUGGACUGGGGGAUGUUUGCACUCGCUUGAUUUUUCGACAACGCUUGCGAAGUGAUCCUCAAAAUAAUGUAAACAAAGCGUUCACCCAACGGAGAGGUCACUCGAGCUUGUUAUGCAUGUGCCAAAUUAUAUGUAUGUAGUAGCUAUAGAACGCGCCACGUGUUGCGAAAUUAUGCACAUAUAUGGGACCAUAGAACUCUGCGAGGGAACGCAUCUACGUAUGUACUCAUAGAAAUAAAUUUGGAGAGUAUCUCUGAAUGUAUGGAUAAUCAAAUUUUGUCAGUCUUCAUAGUCUCCAGUACAAGUCUGCAUCCCUUGUAUAUCGCAGACGUCGAGACGAAUUCGAGGUUGCUACGACCUCGAACCCAUGGCAUCACCUUCACCCGACCUUGAAGGAUGGACCACUAAGAGCGAGAGUAAUUGGAGCAUUAUCGAAGGGGAAAGAGCGCAGAACGAUGAAAGCAGCGGAACGUACGCAUUGUCGCGUCGUCGGGACGCUCGUCGACGAAGGCUUGGCCGGUGCUCGCAAAACUGUGACGCGUGAGCCAGGCGGGACGCAUGACGCGCGAUACGAAACACGCGGGGCUUUUCGCGAUGUACCGAUGCUUAUCUCGCCUCGUCGACUAUUUCCGUUGGUUACGCGUUACGCGUUAAGCAGCUCGUAUAUGCAGACGAUUGUCUAAUGUUUACAGACAGAUUUGAUCCAUCGUCUUCCUGGUCGAUCGUUUCCUCUAAGAAAACUAUCGAUGAAUCUUCUAGGCAAGCCUACAAAACAGUAUGUGGACCAUUCUGGGACUCAUUCGGACCGUUCACUCUCAAAGAAACCAACAUUUUUCUUGCUUACUCUGAUAGGCAUACAAGAUGUAACGUUAAGAUAAGAGGAUUAUCCUCGUGCGAGAGCCAGGGCUGCGCGAUAUGUCCUCAGUCGUUGCCACUGAUUUGUAUUUAACUAGGUCAGAAGAUAAAGUGUUAACCAACACGCGAGUUUGAUGUCCUGUCUUUGACGUCGGUAUUUUUAUUGAGAAUGCCACUCUAGUAAACCUAUGAAUAAGUUUUUCGGUGUGCCUCUACGGGCCAUUUUUAUACCGAUCGAUGCGGUUCCUCUCGACAGAUUUAUGCAAACGAUGAGCGAGUGGAAAACGGUCGCGGUGAUGCUUCACGGUUACACGCAACAGGAACGCGAUGACGUCGAUAUGGUCGAUAUGAAACGUCCUUCGGUUUACAUAAUCGUUGUUCUAUACCAUGGUAGAGGCACGAGAAGAUUCCUGAAUCAAGCAUAUAGAUGAUCCCCGUUUAAAUUGGUAUCAAAGCAUGAUUACUUGGUAAUCCUGCAUCUAUUUAACAAGUGAAGCUGUUUAUUAAUAGGAACGAUAGAGGGAUUGUUGAGAAUCGAUAAACGAAAAAGGGAACGCCUUGGUCUCAUUCGAUACCAUUCUUUUUUUUUUUUUUUAAAUCAACGACUGGAAAAGUCACAAUUUUGCACCAAAAGGUAUUACGCGUGAAAUUACCCUUUCAGCUGCAUGUUUGCAUUUCAACGGGAAAAGCGAAAGCGCAAGAAACCGAGAUUCACGAGACAAGGGUUGCGCGUGACCCACAUCGGUUAUGCAAACGACACGAUUGUAAAGUAAAUCUCGCGCCCGCAUAUUUGCAAGCGAGACGACACGGAAACCUGGCCGAUUUCUCCUGUUUAUCUUCAAAUGCCUUUGUGGUUGCAGGUUUCCUUUAAAAAAUACAUUUCAAAGGCAAUAAGUAGGAGCGAUAACAUGGUAUAUUCUAAUUCUGUUGCAGUACAUUUGACAAAUGAAAUAAACACAUUACAAAAG